rnacentral:rRNA from 1 species
AGACAACCAGGAUGUUGGCUCAGAAGCAGCCAUACAUUCAAAGAGUGCGUAAUAGCUCACUGGUCGAGUGGUUCUGCGCCGAAAAUUUAACGGGGCUAAACGAUACACCGAAGCUUGGGAUGCAGCAUUGGCUGCAUGGUAGGAGAGCGUUCUGUACGGGGUGAAGUCAUAGCGGAAGCGGUGGUGGACUGUACAGAAGAGAGAAUGCCGGAAUGAGUAGCGAGAUUUAUGUGAGAAUCAUAAAGGCCGAAAGACUAAGGAUUUAGAAGGAAGGUUCGUCCGCUUCUAGUUAGCCGGGAGCUAAGGCGAGGCCGAAAGGCGUAGUCGAUGCACAUACGGUGGAGAUUCCGUAGCCGCCUCUUAAUUUAAGCAAAGGGACACUUUCAAAGGGAAUGACCCGGGCGUUGGUAGCCCCGGGCGAAAGGGACCGAAAUUAGAGUAGGGAAGCAUUUCUGGAGGAAGGCGAGAAAAGCUUUGCGGAUAGAGAGAGGCGCCCGUACCGCAAACCGACACAGGUAGUCAGGAAGAGGAUUCUAAGGCCAACGGGAGAAGGGUAGUUAAGGAACUCGGCAAAUUGACCCCGUAACUUCGGAAUAAGGGGUGCUCCUGAAAAGGAGCCGCAGUGAAUAGGCCCAGGCGACUGUUUAUCAAAAACACAGCUCUCUGCUAAAUCGAAAGAUGAAGUAUAGGGGGUGACACCUGCCCGGUGCUGGAAGGUUAAGAGGAAGGGUGCAAGCUCUGAAUUGAAGCCCCAGUAAACGGCGGCCGUAACUAUAACGGUCCUAAGGUAGCGAAAUUCCUUGUCGGGUAAGUUCCGACCCGCACGAAUGGUGUAACGAUCUGGGCACUGUCUCAACUACCCACCCGGCGAAAUUGUAGUACCGGUGAAGAUGCCGGUUACCCGCGGCAAGACGGAAAGACCCCAUGGAGCUUUACUGUAGCCUGAUAUUGGGUUUCGGUAUUCUAUGUACAGGAUAGGCGGGAGACUGGGAACCGAUGGCGUCAGCUGUCGGGGAGUCACCCUUGGGAUACCGCUCUUAGAGUACUGGAAUUCUAACCUGCGGCCGUGAAUCCGGCCGGGGGACAUUGUCAGGUGGGCAGUUUGACUGGGGCGGUCGCCUCCAAAAAGGUAACGGAGGCGCUCAAAGGUUCGCUCAGCACGGACGGAAACCGUGCCUCUGAGUGCAAACGCAAAAGCGAGCCUAACUGCGAGGCUGACGGGCCGAGCAGUAACGAAAGUUGGAGUUAGUGAUCCGGCGGUAUGUGAGUGGAAAUGCCGUCGCUCAACGGAUAAAAGCUACCCUGGGGAUAACAGGCUGAUCUCCCCCAA